rnacentral:rRNA from 1 species
CUUGAUGGGGUAAGGCUCCCAGUAGACGACUGGGUUGAUAGGCCGGAUCUGGAAGCACGGUAACGUGUGGAGGUGACCGGUACUAAUAGGCCGAGGGCUUGUCCUCAGUUG